GCCGGGGUAGCCAAGCCAGGUCUAAGGCGACCGCCUCGAGAGCGGUUGUCCCUCCGGGACACGUGAGUUCAAAUCUCACCCCCGGCG
rnacentral:tRNA from 1 species